UACGAAGGGAGCUAGCGUUGUUCGGAUUUACUGGGCGUAAAGCGUGCGCAGGCGGCCAUUCAAGUCAGGGGUGAAAUCCUUGGGCUCAACCCAAGAAUUGCCUUUGAAACUGUUCGGCUCGAGACUCGGAGGGGAAUGCGGAAUUGCUAAUGUAGCGGUGAAAUGCGUAGAUAUUAGCAGGAACACCGGUGGCGAAGGCGGCAUUCUGGACGAGUACUGACGCUCAUGCACGAAAGCGUGGGGAUCAAACAGG
rnacentral:rRNA from 1 species